GAUAGUGAACCAGUACCGUGAGGGAAAGGCGAAAAGAACCCCGGCGAGGGGAGUGAAAAAGAACCUGAAACCGUGUACGUACAAGCAGUGGGAGCCCCACCACUAAGCCAGUGGUGAACUCCACAUCCGCAUCCUUUGCUGAGGAUACGGUUAACGGAGCGAAAGCGACGUUCAACCGCAAAACAAGCAGAGGGGGCUUAGGGGUGUGACUGCGUACCUUUUGUAUAAUGGGUCAGCGACUUAUAUUCUGUAGCAAGGUUAACCGUAUAGGGGAGCCGGAGGGAAACCGAGUCUUAACCGGGCGUUAAGUUGCAGGGUAUAGACCCGAAACCCGGUGAUCUAGCCAUGGGCAGGUUGAAGGUUGGGUAACACUAACUGGAGGACCGAACCGACUAAUGUUGAAAAAUUAGCGGAUGACCUGUGGCUGGGGGUGAAAGGCCAAUCAAACCGGGAGAUAGCUGGUUCUCCCCGAAAGCUAUUUAGGUAGCGCCUCGUGAAUUCAUCUCCGGGGGUAGAGCACUGUUUCGGCUAGGGGGCCAUCCCGGCUUACCAACCCGAUGCAAACUGCGAAUACCGGAGAAUGUUAUCACGGGAGACACACGGCGGGUGCUAACGUCCGUCGUGAAGAGGGAAACAACCCAGACCGCCAGCUAAGGUCCCAAAGUCAUGGUUAAGUGGGAAACGAUGUGGGAAGGCCCAGACAGCCAGGAUGUUGGCUUAGAAGCAGCCAUCAUUUAAAGAAAGCGUAAUAGCUCACUGGUCGAGUCGGCCUGCGCGGAAGAUGUAACGGGGCUAAACCAUGCACCGAAGCUGCGGCAGCGAACGUAUCACCCAAGACAACUUUACGGAGUUGACGAUUGACGGAGCGAAGCGACGUCAAAGCGUUCAUUAAAGUCGAGUUGGCUUAGGGAUACGUUCGUUGGGUAGGGGAGCGUUCUGUAAGCCUGUGAAGGUGUGUCGUGAGGCAUGCUGGAGGUAUCAGAAGUGCGAAUGCUGACAUAAGUAACGAUAAAGCGGGUGAAAAGCCCGCUCGCCGGAAGACCAAGGGUUCCUGUCCAACGUUA
rnacentral:rRNA from 1 species